UAGAUUUUCUCGUUUAUUCUAAAGUUUGCAAUACCUAGAAAAUUCUGUAAGGAGUUUAGUAUUAGUUGAAACUUCUCUUUAAUAAAAUCACUUUCAAGUGCAAGAAAUUUUUUCAGUGGCAUUUUCUUUUGAAUGGAAAGAAAGAGAUUUAAACUUGAAAAAAUACAACAUGCUUAUUCUGCAAUAUACGUCUUUUGAAAACUAAACUUUGCUUAUAUUUGCCAGGAAUCCUUAUUUAAUUGCAAUGCAUGAGUCAAAAUAUAAAAAAAUCAUUUGAUUACGCUUCUGAUACAUAUGACGCAUGUUAUUUAGAUUUUUGUAAAAGAUCUAUCGUAGCUACGCAACAAAACUAACAUGAAUGUUAAUCAACGUCUCAUUAUGUUUAGAAGAAGAUUAUUCGGAUUUGAAAGGAUUGCUAAUGUAGCCAAUUUUAGACUGCGUGUUUUUACAAAACUCUGAUCACAAUUGUAACCGCAUAUACCUGUGCUUGUUGCAGCUAUUUAGUAUUUAAUUCGUUUUUCAGAUUCGUUUUCUAUCAACGGAUCCUUUAAAAUUAAUGAAAUCCUAUCCACCUGUUUCUAUUCUUGAUGCUACACGAUGCUAUAUUUUCAGUUUUAAUAUUUAGAUCUUUGAAUAAGGUUUACUAAUUGCUAGACUUUCCAAUGUUUUCUUCAUAGUGUUUGAAUUGUCAAGUAGCAGGGCAGAAUUUUUGAAAUUCGAAAAAUAGUGCAAAUGUUUUGUAAAAAGUACGGAAUACACUGCAAAUGUUGAUUUAUAUCCAUUUUGAAGUUUUCCGCUAAUGCAAAUUUUGAAAUUAUCAAUUUCCGUUUCUAAAAUGCAUAUCAAGCUGGUAGGCUUCUUCGAUUCAGAAACCGUGACAUCUGCUGAUCGAAUCAAAUAUUUGCCCUUUGAGAGUGACGUUGCCAGGCUUUAUAAGUGGCUGUGCAUCCUGCGUUUUAAAGUCUGAUGUUUUACAGUUAGAUGAUCUUCAAAGCUAGUAACAAGCACGUAGCCAUGUUUGUGUCAUCAGCAAUCUUCAUUCUGACAGCAAGCUGUUUUGCGUUACAUGAAGCAAGGUUAUGCCACUUUGAAUCUGCAAGAAAGGCACUGGUUGAAGCCUCCCCUGUAAGGUAUGGAUCAGCAAACAGCUGCAGUGAAAGCAUAAUUAUGGAUCAAUUUUCUAAAGUUGAGUAUCAGUGCAUAGAAGCAUGCUACAAACACCCUGGGUGCCACUCAAUUUACUUCGACACUAAAAGCAAGUACUGCAUUCUUUGGCGUUUUCUAGAAGAGCCUUCGAUGUGUUUUGAACGUGUCACGACUUCAGAUGCCUAUCACGCACUCCUUGAUAGGGGGCAGUUUAGAGAUAUGUUUGGAAGUGGGUGCAUGAAGAAGCAUUGAAGAUUCGAUGUUUCAAGACUUGAGGCCAAACUACUUGCUGUCAAGGGGAAUGCACUUAAACACUAUUCAUUUAAUCUGCAUAUAUGCCUUAUAAUAUGCUUAAGUCUACAUAAAUUCUUGUGUAUUAUACUUACGGUCAAGAUUGUUUUCUUAUGAAGAAAGACCUCUGAAUUA